AUGGGGACGGAGCGGCCGCGGCUUCGCCGCGCCGGGCACGGUGCGCGCUGCGCCCUGCGCCUCGCCCGAGCCUGGGGGAGGUGCCGGGGCGGGGAGCGGCGGCCAAACCGGAGCCGCCCGGCCAGGGGCGCGCAGCCAGGAGGGAGGGAAAGGUGCUGAGGGAUGAGGAUCCAAGCCCAGAGCUGCUCUUUUCCAAGGAUUUGGGAUUUCCAAACAGUUCCCAUCAGCUGGAGCAGAACUCAGUUCAGGAUGGAGAUGAAGUCUCAGCUGUGAGCACAGAGAAGUUCCAGGAAUAUGGAUAAAAUCAGCAGGAAUUAUGUUGGGAAGGGGACGGGAAAAGCUGGAUCCAACUCCAGGUGUGUCCAGAGGUGGCUCCUGGGCUGAAUCUUUGGGAACUUUUCAUGGAAUUUCUGCUCCUGGUGCUGCUGAAAACCUCUGGAAAAGGACUUUUCUCCUGGAAAAAAAAGAUUGCUGGGACAGGCUGGGAUUUCAAAGGAAUUUCUGGGAGUCCAGAGCUGCUUUUUCCUUUGUUUUUUUUUUUUCCAAAGAAAAAUGUGGAUUUUGAUUGUUUGAAGGUGCAGAAAAUUCCUUUUUCUUUCGUUAUUGAGGGAAUUUAUUCCCAGUUCCAAGCCAACAUUCCAUGUUUAAAGCUGCUUCUCUCAUUGUUUGUGUUCCAAGUGUUUGGGAAUUUUAAAAAAAUUGGGGAUUGUUAUAUUGGGAAUAAAUCUGAAGGGUUAUUUUUCCAUA